UCCGUAGGUGAACCUGCGGAAGGAUCAUUACAAAUCUCUGUUGGUGUGUGGUGGUAGGGGGGCUAGUUCUAUUAGGCAAUUUGCUUGGUAGGCUGGCUUAACCACUCCACUACACCCGACAACAUUAGCACGAGGCUGCAAGGCCUUGAUGUUUACGCUUGUUUGUUUGACAGAUUUACUGAGACUAAAAUAUAGACAACUUUUAACAAUGGAUCUCUUGGCUCUUGCAACGAUGAAGAACGCAGUAAAGUGCGAUAUGUAGUGCAAUUUGCAUGAAUCUGUGAGUCAUCUAAUCUUUGAACGCAACUUGCGCCUCUCUGAGGCAUGUCUGUUUGAGUGCCGCAUACUCUCUGCAGCAAUGCGAUGUGACUGUUGUCCCUGGACUCGGUCUAAACAAAGCCAGAUAGUGGCCUGUGUGGCUAGCCCGAGUGCUAAGCAUUCUCUAGCUAGUUACAUCGGUCAUAAUAUAUCUCUAUCUUUGGCCUCAAAUCAGGGCAAGGACUACCCGGCUGGAACCUUAAGGCAUAUCAAUAAGGCGGGAGGGAAGGUCGGACUGGCCAAGGGGCACACAGGGGGGGGAUA
rnacentral:rRNA from 1 species